rnacentral:rRNA from 1 species
AACGUAGGUGGCAAGCGUUAUCCGGAUUUACUGGGCGUAAAGGGUGUGCAGGCGGGGUUGCAAGUGGUGUAUGAAAUCUCCCGGCUUAACCGGGAGGGGUUAUGCCAGACUGCAAUUCUAGAGGACGAGAGAGGGGGGUGGAAUUCCGGGUGUAGUGGUGAAAUGCGUAGAGAUCCGGAGGAACCCCAGAGGCGAAGGCGGCCCCCUGGCUCGUACCUGACGCUGAGGCGCGAAGGCGUGGGGAGCGAACGGG